rnacentral:rRNA from 1 species
UACGUAGGGUCCGAGCGUUGUCCGGAAUUAUUGGGCGUAAAGGGCUCGUAGGCGGUCUGUUGCGUCGGGAGUGAAAACUCGGAGCUUAACUCCGAGCCUGCUUCCGAUACGGGCAGACUAGAGGUAGGCAGGGGAAAGCGGAACUCCUGGUGUAGCGGUGAAAUGCGCAGAUAUCAGGAAGAACACCGGUGGCGAAGGCGGGUCUCUGGGCCGAUACUGACGCUGAGGAGCGAAAGCGUGGGGAGCAAACAGG